rnacentral:tRNA from 1 species
GCCCGGGUGGCGGAACUGGUAUACGCGUUGGACUUAAAAUCCAAUGUCCUUUAGGACUUGGGAGUUCGAGUCUCCCCUCGGGCA